UACAGAGGUCCCAAGCGUUGUUCGGAUUCACUGGGCGUAAAGGGUGCGUAGGCGGUCGGGUAAGUCUGAUGUGAAAUCUCACAGCUUAACUGUGAAACUGCAUUGGAUACUAUCCGGCUAGAGGAAUGGAGGGGAGACUGGAAUACUUGGUGUAGCAGUGAAAUGCGUAGAUAUCAAGUGGAACACCAGUGGCGAGGGCGAGUCUCUGGACAUUUCCUGACGCUGAGGCACGAAAGCCAGGGGAGCAAACGGG
rnacentral:rRNA from 1 species